AACGAACGCUGGCGGCGUGCCUAACACAUGCAAGUCGAACGAGAAAGCGGGCUUCGGCCCGUGAGUACAGUGGCAGACGGGUGAGUAACACGUGGGUAACCUGCCCGGAGGUGGGGGAUAACCUUUCGAAAGGAAGGCUAAUACCGCAUGACACCUCGAGGUCAUCAGGCCUUGAGUUCAAAGCUUGCCUCUAUUUAUAAGCAAGCGCCACCGGAGGGGCCCGCGCCCCAUUAGCUUGUUGGUGAGGUAACGGCUCACCAAGGCUGCGAUGGGUAGCCGGCCUGAGAGGGCGAUCGGCCACACUGGAACUGAGACACGGUCCAGACUCCUACGGGAGGCAGCAGUGAGGAAUUUUGCGCAAUGGGCGAAAGCCUGACGCAGCGACGCCGCGUGGAGGACGAAGGCCCUCGGGUCGUAAACUCCUGUCAAGCGGGACGAAUCCCGGUCGGAUGAAUAAGCCGGUCGGUUGACGGUACCGCUGAAGGAAGCCCCGGCUAACUCCGUG
rnacentral:rRNA from 1 species